rnacentral:tRNA from 1 species
GGCUUCAUCGUCUAACGGUUAGGACGCCGCCUUCUCAAGGCAGAAAUCGGAGUUCGAUUCUCCGUGGAGCUA